rnacentral:rRNA from 1 species
CCGGAUGUAGGAACCGACCGGGGACCGCCGGGGCAACCCGGCGCCCCGAGACGGGGCGAACCACGGUGAAAAUGACGGAUCGUCGGCCCCGCGCCGGCGACUCGCCGAAUGAGUUUCUGACCUAUCAACUCGAGACGGCGGGGUAGAGGCCCGCCGCGGUAACGACGGGUAACGGGGAAUCAGGGUUCGAUUCCGGAGAGGGAGCCCGAGAAACGGCUACCACUUCCAAGGAAGGCAGCAGGCGCGCAACUUACCCUAAUCUCGAUUCGAGGAGGUAGUGACAAGAAAUACCGAUGCGGGACCCUACGGGUGCCGCGUUCGGAAUGAGUACGAUUCGAACCACCUAACGAGGAACGAUCGGAGGGCAAGUCUGGUGCCAGCAGCCGCGGUAAUUCCAGCUCC